rnacentral:rRNA from 1 species
CCGCCGUCGCCAGCCCACCUUUCCUGACAGCCCAACAGUGGACGCAAUAGCCUAACCCGCUAGCAAGACAGGUCAAGGUAUAGCCCACGGAAUGGAAGCAAUGGGCUACAUUUUCUAGACUAGAACAUACGGAUAAGGGCAUGAAACUGCCCUUGGAAGGCGGAUUUAGCAGUAAAGAGAGACAAUUGAGCCCUCUUUAAGCCGGCUCUGGAGCACGU